rnacentral:rRNA from 1 species
ACCUGUAGGAAAGGAAAUCAACCGAGACUCCGAAAGUAGUGGCGAGCGAAAUCGGACCAGCCGAUGGAUUUAUUAAUAAGAAUUGGAAGCAUCUGGAAAGUUGCACCAAAGAAGGUGAUAGUCCUGUACAAGUAGAAAGUUAAUAAAUUCUUGAGUAAGGCGGAGCACGAGAAAUUCUGUCUGAAAAUGGGGAGACCACUCUCCAAGGCUAAGUACUACUGAUUGACCGAUAGUGAACAAGUACCGUGAGGGAAAGGUGAAAAGCACCCCUAUAAGGGGAGUGAAAGAGAACCUGAAACCGAAUGCUUACAAGCAGUCGGAGGGUCUUUAAGGCCUGACGGCGUACCUUUUGUAUAAUGGGUCAGCGACUUAGUGUAUGUAGCAAGCUUAAGCCGAUAGGUGUAGGCGUAGCGAAAGCGAGUUUUAAUAGAGCGAUAAGUUACAUGCAUUAGACCCGAAACCGAGUGAUCUAGCCAUGAGCAGGUUGAAGGUUGGGUAACACCAACUGGAGGACCGCACCCAUAUCUGUUGAAAAAGAUAGGGAUGACUUGUGGCUAGGGGUGAAAGGCCAAUCAAACUCGGAAAUAGCUGGUUCUCCGCGAAAACUAUUUAGGUAGUGCGGUGAGCGGACACCUUGAGGGGUAGAGCACUGAAAGAGCUAAGGGGGAGCGAUCCUUACUAAACUUUAUCAAACUCCGAAUACUCAAGAGUGAUACUCACCAGACAGACAUUAGGUGCUAAGGUCUAGUGUCGAGAGGGAAAGAGCCCAGACCGUCAAUUAAGGUCCCAAAAUUAUGGCUAAGUGGUAAAGGAAGUGAAUUGUCCAAAACAGUCAGGAGGUUGGCUUAGAAGCAGCCAUCCUUUAAAGAAAGCGUAAUAGCUCACUGAUCUAAACAAGACGAUUUGCGCCGAAGAUGUAACGGGGCUAAAGCCAUAUACCGAAAUUACGGAUUUACACGUAAGUGUAAGUGGUAGCGGAGCGUUCUGUAGGCCUGCGAAGGUGAACCGUAAGGUUUGCUGGAGGUAUCAGAAGUGAGAAUGCUGACAUGAGUAGCGAAAAGAAGAGUGAGAGACUCUUCCGCUGAAAGUCCAAGGUUUCCUGCGUAAAGCUAAUCUGCGCAGGGUUAGUCGGCCCCUAAGGCGAGGCAGAGAUGCGUAGUCGAUGGGAAUCAGGUUAAUAUUCCUGAACCAACUAGGAAGUGACGGAUUCAGUAAAUUGUAUGUCCUUAUUGGAUUGGAUAUGCAGUGAAUGAGUUCCAGGAAAUAGCCCUAGUAUAGACCGUACCCCAAACCGACACAGGUGGACAGGUAGAGAAUACCAAAGCGCUUGAGAGAACUAUGUUGAAGGAACUAGGCAAAAUACUUGCGUAACUUCGGGAUAAGCAAGCCCCAUUUUAAGGCAACUUAAGGUGGGGGGCACAUACUAGGGGGUAGCGACUGUUUACUAAAAACACAGGACUCUGCUAAAUUGAAAGAUGAAGUAUAGGGUCUGACGCCUGCCCGGUGCUGGAAGGUUAAGGAGAGAUGUGAGAGCAUUGAACUGAAGCCCCAGUAAACGGCGGCCGUAACUAUAACGGUCCUAAGGUAGCGAAAUUCCUUGUCGGGUAAGUUCCGACCUGCACGAAUGGCGUAACGACUUCCCCGCUGUCUCCAACAUAGACUCAGCGAAAUUGAAUUCUGAGUUAAGAUGCUCAGUACCCGCGGUUAGACGGAAAGACCCCGUGAACCUUUACUAUAGCUUUGCAGUGGUAUUAGGUGACAAAUGUGUAGGAUAGGUGGGAUGCUAUGAAGUUAUGACGCCAGUUGUAAUGGAGCAGACGUUGAAAUACCACCCUUUUGUUAUUUGAUAUCUAACCUGCUUCCCUGAACGGGAAGAGGGACCCUGCAUGGUGGGUAGUUUGACUGGGGCGGUCGCCUCCCAAAGAGUAACGGAGGCGCGCAAAGGUUGGCUCAGACUGGUCGGAAAUCAGUCGUCGAGUGCAAUGGCAUAAGCCAGCCUGACUGCGAGAGAGACAUUUCGAGCAGAGACGAAAGUCGGUCAUAGUGAUCCGGUGGUCCCGAGUGGAAGGGCCAUCGCUCAACGGAUAAAAGGUACUCCGGGGAUAACAGGCUGAUUCCGCCCAAGAGUUCACAUCGACGGCGGAGUUUGGCACCUCGAUGUCGGCUCAUCACAUCCUGGGGCUGGAGA